rnacentral:rRNA from 1 species
AGGACGAACGCUGGCGGCGUGCUUAACACAUGCAAGUGGAGCGACGAACCAGGGCUUGCCCUGGGGCAGAGCCGCGAACGGGUGAGUAACACGUGGGUUACCUGCCUCGAUGACCGGGACAACCCGAGGAAACUCGGGCUAAUACCGGAUGUGCCCGCAAGGGGAAAGGAAGCUUCGGCCUCCGCAUCGAGAUGGGCCCGCGGCCCAUUAGCUUGUUGGUGAGGUAACGGCUCACCAAGGCUUCGAUGGGUAGCUGGUCUGAGAGGACGAUCAGCCACACUGGGACUGAGACACGGCCCAGACUCCUACGGGAGGCAGCAGUGGGGAAUCUUGCGCAAUGCACGAAAGCGUGACGCAGCAACGCCGCGUGGGGGAAGAAGGCUUUCGGGUGUAAACCCUUUCAGUUGGGACGAAGCUCCGUCGGUGAAUAGCCGGCUGGAGUGACGGUACCUUCACAAGAAGCACCGGCUAACUACGUGCCAGCAGCCGC